rnacentral:rRNA from 1 species
GACGAACGCUGGCGGCGUGCUUUACACAUGCAAGUCGAACGGUGAAGGUGGAGCUUGCUCCGCCGGAUCAGUGGCGAAUGGGUGAGUAACACGUGGGCAACCUGCCCCUAACUUUGGGAUAACUACUCGAAAGAGUAGCUAAUACCGGAUACGAAGUCUGUAGGCAUCUACGGAUUUGGAAAGUUUUUCGGUUAGGGAUGGGCCCGCGGCCUAUCAGCUUGUUGGUGAGGUAGUGGCUCACCAAGGCGACGACGGGUAGCCGGCCUGAGAGGGCGACCGGCGACACUGGGACUAAGACACGGCCCAGACGCCUACGGGGGGCAGCAGUGGGGAAUAUUGCGCAAGAGGCGAAAGCCUGACGCAGCAACGCCGCGUGCGGGAUGAAGGCCUUCGGGUUGUAAACCGCUUUCAGCAGGGAAGAAGCGAAAGUGACGGUACCUGCAGAAGAAGCACCGGCUAACUACGUGCCAGCCGCCGCAGUAA